rnacentral:tRNA from 1 species
UCCCAUAUGGUCUAGUGGUUAGGAUUUGGCGCUUUCACCGCCAAGGCUCGAGUUCAAUUCCCGGUGUGGGAA